UGCAACACUCUGAAGACCACUGUCAUGCC
rnacentral:piRNA from 1 species